rnacentral:rRNA from 1 species
CACGUAGGCGGAUCGUUAAGUCGGGGGUGAAAUCCUGGAGCUCAACUCCAGAACUGCCUUCGAUACUGGCGAUCUCGAGUCCGGAAGAGGUGAGUGGAACUCCUAGUGUAGAGGUGGAAUUCGUAGAUAUUAGGAAGAACACCAGUGGCGAAGGCGGCUCACUGGUCCGGUACUGACGCUGAGGUGCGAAAGCGUGGGAGCAAACA